rnacentral:other from 1 species
UUACCCCUGCGGCGUACGUGAGGAUGUAGGAAAAUUGGAGCCAACACUCCAAGACCGGGGGAUGAUUCUGGCGUGGUGUGCAAACCUGCCUUGAGUAGGAAGCCUAAAGCGACCGUGAUUCCUCCGCCCUUUAACUAAGGGCUACAAUUGGACUGCAUCAACGGCGCUUGCGGGGGUUUU